ensembl:scaRNA
GGCCUUUUGUUUAUUGGGCUGUGGGGAUCACAUUCCUCCUCAGCUAGGGCUGGAGGCCAAGAUGAUCUGUGAGUGGCAUUGUCGUCAGGACUGCCUUGAGAGGGCAGCCUUGUUUUCCGGCCUCAGACAUUG